rnacentral:sRNA from 1 species
UUUUUGUUUGUUUGUAGGGGUAGGAGGACUUCUUGUUUUACAAUGGCUUCCCUAAGAGAUACCUGGGCUUGUCAGCAAAGCAGCUAAUAAAACACUGGCCUAUUCUUUUUAUCUGAUUAUCACUUGAGAGGGGCUGGGAAGUAUCUUUUGAGGGAAAAGGUCUCUGGCACUGUAGGAUUUGGGUGUGAGCCACCACGCCCAGCCUAUUUGCAGUUUUUAAGAUGGAGAAAAAGGAAUCCUACACAAUGAAUUGGGUUUUCUUUGAGAAAUUAUCACUAAGCUGAGGGUUCUACAUUUGAUUGGUAAUGUGCCCAGAGUUGAUAUUUUAUUCUGCAUGUACUAAUUUUUUUCUGGUUUUUGGAGGUGUUCUCUAACCAAAACUGAACACUUUCUGGUAGCUAAAAACUGGUGUCUCUUUCCAGCUUCAUAUUUUUAUAAGGCUGAUAAUGCUGUCCACUGAACAGGACUAUUUCUUGGUAGGACAUAGAGAUGGUCACUGUUCUCAUUGUGGUUCCCGUGCAAGAAAAUGGAGACAUCAUGGGAUAGGGUGUUGUCAUUGUAGGUUUAAGAAUUGUCAUUCUGGCUGGGCGUGGUGGCUCAUGCCUGUAAUCCCAGCACUUUGGGAGGCUGAGGCUGGUAGAUCACCUGAGGUC